GGUGCUGGAAAGGAACAAGUGAGGUCACAGAGGGCAGAUUCCAUUCCCGUCACCCUCUGACCUUCAGCUACAGAGAGGAGUGUUUCGGGGUGUGGUUAUCCACUGGAAUGGGAUGAGGAGCUCUGCUGCCCAGAGUCUACACUGUGUCAGGGGAAGACUUCUCCACGGCUGUGGGAGCCUGCAAGUCCCUGAGGGCCGUGGGAAGGUAGGGGCAGCGAGGGAGCGUGUGGAUGAGUCUCGUGGUGUUUACCCCACAGGGCUGCUGCUGAUCUUGAGGUGUCACCAGGUUCUCCGUCUCCAUUGGGACUGAAAACCCACUGGAGAUAAGAUAAUAAUAACUAAUUUGAAUCUGCUUCUUGCUAUCUUGGUUGAAUUAAUGUCGAGACACAGCUGGACAAGUUCACAGUGAAGGAAUUCUUUCGGGUCAGAAUGGCUGGCUGGAAGUAACCCAAGCUGUACAGGGCCCACUCCCAGCAGAGAGCAAGUAGAGUGCCCGUCACAACAGUCCAGGGCUUGUGUGACACAGGUCUCUGUGCCAGGACCAUGCUGGAGAAUGCAGCCAGGGCUGGUCUUCAGGAAAGUCACUUCAGAGUGACUACUGGGCCCUUGCCUACCCGUCCCCUGAACUGCUGUCAGCUGCAGCCUGAGCUGCCGAGGGACAGACGUUUACCAUCUGGAAGCAGACGGUGGUGAGGACGGCAGUGAUGGUGCGGCCCAUCAGUCGCAGGAUGAGGAACUGAAGCACAACACAUAGCAGAGAGUGGUAGAGCUGCGUUCCUGGAUGCGGAGGAGAGCAGAAGUGAGCCUGGUUUUUCACACUCCCACCCUUCCUGAGACUUCCAACCAUAAAAAGAAUAUAUAAAGAAAAAACUUUGGUAUUAGGAUCUU